CAUAGUUCCACCUUGUUCUCAUAAGACAUGGACCAGAUGAGUCAAGCUCCUUGCCUGCCAAUGACUAAAAAUGUAUGUAUUUCAUAACAAUUUAAGCAGAUGCCUGUUACAACUGCAGUCAAAAUGCUCAAGGAAUUCAAAUGAGUUCUGAGACAUAAAUUAGGUAUCCUAAUCGCCCACAGUUGCUGUGCUAUCCUGGCUUCCCACUGCUCCUCAACCUUUUAAUGUCAGACUGACCAAGAGAAGAACACAGGAUCUGACAGAAGGAGACAAAAGAAGCAAAGGUGGCGAGGCUGGUGAUGGAGAAACCCGUGAAAAUACCCUGAAGGAAUGAAGUGCAGUGUGGAAGACGGUGACUCAUAUCUCUGCAGUGAUCCUUCAGUAAAAGGUGAAUGCUUUUUAGAAGGACAUUUUAAUACCUAAUGGGUAGUUGAAGACAAUGCUAUGUUUCCAUAUUUGGAUGCUAUUUCUGGUGAAGGAGGAGUGUAAUACAGACAUACUUCAAUUAUCAAAGUCUCUGAGAAAGGGCCCCCAGGAGGAGGAAGGGCUGCUAACCAGCGUCUCAGAGCAUGUGCAAGUGACAGAGGAUAUGGGAGCCUGUGGCAUUCGGAGUUGCCCACCACCUGCUGGGAUCCACUUACAAAGCUGCAAACACAUGGGAAGACUGCCGCUCUUGCUGACACAUCGCAGGAGGACCAAGCGGAGACUGUCGCUCCCAGUCAACUUGAGUUCUGCUAUAAUGAACAAAAAUUACAGUUCAAACAUGAACCUCUGAAGUGUUUGAGAAAGGGGCUGGCAGUUCUUAGUCUUGAAAUAUCUUCUUGUGAUAUAAUGUGAUUUUUAGACAUUUUUUUCUUUUUUAAGGGAACAAAUAAAAUCCUAACUAAACACUCA
rnacentral:lncRNA from 11 species